rnacentral:piRNA from 1 species
AGCGUUUGCUCGGUCCUGCGCUUGUG